UCCUACGGGAGGCAGCAGUGAGGAAUAUUGGUCAACGGACGAGAGUCUGACCCAGCCAAAUCGCGUGAAGGAAGACUGCCCUACGGGUUGUAAACUUCUUUUGUACAGGAAUAAAAKACAUUACCUGUAAUGUAUUGCAUGUGCUGUACGAAUAAGCAUCGGCUAACUCCAUGCCAGCAGCCGCGGUAAUA
rnacentral:rRNA from 1 species